GUAUCUGAAGCCUGACGAGGAUGAGAACCUCCGGGGGCAAGAGGUUCGACUCGAGCGAAGCGAGAGAACGUUGCGUCAGCAACGGCCCGCAGUGGUAAGUCAUCCUCUGUCACCGGCAG
rnacentral:sRNA from 1 species